GCGGGCGUGGUGAAAUUGGUAGACACGCAAGAUUUAGGUUCUUGUGCCGCGAGGUGUGGGGGUUCAAGUCCCUCCGCCCGCACCA
rnacentral:tRNA from 1 species